AUCCAGCCAACGAGUCCCGAGUAGGACGAAACGCGCGUCCUGGAU
rnacentral:hammerhead_ribozyme from 1 species